GGAGCUGGAGCAUGCGCAGUUGGGUAUGAAGCCAGACUGAGGCGGUCGGGCGGAAAUUGGCAGCGGGAGAGAAACUGCCGGGAUGUUAGAGGAGGAGGAUUUACAGAUGUGAGACUCAAACAGACAUCACAUCAAGGUCUGAUUGAUUGAGUUACUCAAUACAUCAGGACCUGAAUAUCAUUGGCCUUUGAAUUUGGAAGGAGAAAUGUUUUUCUGUUCUGUCUGUGGGAAAAGAUUUCAAAUAUCAGUGUGACUGGAAAAGCACUGAGACACACACACGCGAGUGAGAGUGUUCCUGUGUGCUGACUGUGGAAAGAGCUUUAAACACUUAGCCUGUAAAAACUACACACCACUCACAUUGGGGAGAAAUCAUACAUGUGUUGUGUGUGGACAAGGCUUCAACUGAUUGUCCUAUUUGGAGUGACACAAGGAUACUGACACCAUGGAGAAACCGUGGACAUGUGGGGACUGUGGUAAAGGAUUUAAUUAUCCAUCCUUGCUGAAAAACCAUCAACGCGUUCACACUCGGGAAAAACCAUUUAACUGCUCUGUGUGUGGGAAGGCAUUUACUCAGCUAUCCUGCCUCCAGUCACACCAACAAACUCACACUGAGGAGAGGCCGUUCAGCUGCUCUUCCUGUGGAAAGAGGUUCCGGUCUUCAUCCAACCUCAUUGCACACCAGCGAGUUCACACUGGGGAGAGGCCAUUUACCUGCUCUGUGUGUGGGAAGGGAUUCAGUCGGUCCUCCCAUCUGCUGGAGCACCAACAAACUCACACAGAGGAGAGGCCAUUCAGCUGCACCAAUUGUGGAAAGAGGUUCAGGUCUUCACCCAAUCUCAUUGCGCACCAGCGGGUUCACUCUGGGGAGAAACCGUUUAUUUGCUCCGUGUGUGGGAAGGAAUACACUCACCCAUCCAACCUGCUGAUACACCAGCGAACUCACACGGGCGAGAGGCCAUUCACCUGCUCCGUGUGUGGGAAGGGAUUCACUAAAUCCUUCAACCUGGUGAUACACCAACGCACACACACUGGAGAGAGGCCAUUCACCUGCUGUGUAUGUGGGAAAGGAUUCACUCAGCCAUCUAACCUGCUGACACAUCAGCGAAUUCAUAAGUGACUGCAGGAGUUGGAUUCUGCUGUUAUUGCCCUUGGAUCAUGUCCGGGACUGAUAUUCUGACAAUAUUAUGUUUGUUGAUGUUAACAACUCUCAUAACUGGCUGGAGUUUAAUAUUCUGGAGAGGUCACUGGUUUUCGGGAUUGCAGUGUCCUUUUUUAAAAGCACCAUCUGUGAUCUUUCCCCUUAAUUCAAGAACUCUCACCAGGAACUAAUUUACAAUAAAAUUAUGAACUUUUAUUUCAAUCCUAAAUUGAUCUUUAAUGCAAAAUCUACAGUUCAGUGUCUGAAAGGCUUCACUGAUUAACAGCUCCGAUUAGAAAGUGCUGAUUAACCCUUGCUGACAGUUCUUACUGACGUACACAUUCUUCACAGUGAAACCUCCAAUUUGAAAUUAAAUUAUCAAGAAACAUGAAACAAAACAGUAAAAUAUUUUACAGGCACAUCAAUAAAAGUUUCAUCAAUCAACAUUGAUAUUGAUGAAGUUUGGAAGUCGCUGAUUCAAUCAUUUCUGACACAGCAGCAGCAAUAUUUGGUAAAGGUGGAACCCACAACAAAGGCUGGUUUGAGAUCUACUCAGCAGAGGUGACAUCUGUCAUUGAAGCAAAAAGCAAAACCCACCUGAUGCACAACAUAUACUCAACAGCCAGAACACUGCAUAACUUGAAUGUAGCCAAGACACUUGUGUAAAAGACCAUGAGAAACUGUGUAAGUAAACACUGGAUCAGUCUGCAUCCAGGAAUCUAAACUGCCUGUGACAAUGGAAAUCUGCAACGUAUGGUGGGAUCAAGAGGGCACGUAGUCCAACCAUCACCAAAGUCGCCCUCCUGAAAUCGGAAUGUGGUGAAGUAUUCACCAACAGAAGUAAACAGAUGUCCCCCUGAGAAAAUAUUUCAAACAUCUCUGUGACUGGACAUCACUGUGAGCUGUAAGCCUCUGAAACGGACAUCCCCCAGUCUCAAUUUGACACUCCCACAGCUUCCUGUCAUGGUUGACUUGGAUGAGCUCGAAAAGGCCAUUGAUUGUCCAGCAAGCAGAAAGACACCCGGCAAGGACGGAAUUCCAGCUGAACUGCUCAAGCACGGAAAGUCACACAUUCAUGACCUCCUCCUCCUCUGGUAAAAAGUCUCAUGGAUUGUUUCUUUUGUGCAGUGAAUCUUUUUUCUUUGAUUAGCUCGUGCUAAAUUGCUGAUAACAUGUCAACACCAUGUUUUUUAUUGAUUUACCUAUUAAUUCAUCUGGUAAAUUAUGUUGUUCUGUUUCUUGCAUCUAUGUUAUUCUCCCAUUGCUUUUCUCACUGUUUAUACCUGAAUAUCUCAUCUCUCUGACAGAUUUAAUAAUGUCUUUUUAUUCGGUUAAUCACCUGACUAUCUGGCUCGGUGAGCAGAAUGCACGUCGUCUGUCCUUUCAGAUCAUUAUUCAGUUCACAGCUUCUCAUCUUAUCCUUCUGGAGCCUGCUUCUAUUGCUGGUCCUUAGUUUUUAAUGUGUUUAAGUGUGGUUACUGUUGAGAAACUGUUAAUAAAGUUAUUGGAAUUA